rnacentral:misc_RNA from 1 species
AGAGAAAUGAAGUACGUGCUUGUGACAGGAGGAGUUGUCAGUGGGCUCGGCAAGGGCGUUACUGCUAGCAGCAUAGGCGUCGUCCUUAAAGCUUGCGGCCUUCGAGUCACCUCCAUCAAAAUAGAUCCUUACCUGAAUACUGAUGCUGGUACCAUGUCCCCCUUCGAGCAUGGGGAGGUCUUUGUUCUUGAUGAUGGCGGAGA